rnacentral:lncRNA from 1 species
AUGUUUUCAUGAAAGUAUACUCCCUUGGAGAAUUCAAAGCGACCCUGCAUAUUUCUCAAUUAACCAAAAAAAAAAAAAACCCAUAUUCGAACAAGAAUUAGGUUCAUUGUAUGAACCUUUAAUUCACCUCUUUUCUUGUUAUCAAUCAAAAUGUCACCUAAAUUAAUAAUAAAAUAGAUUAAUUUUAUUUUUUAAAAAAAUCUGAAAUAAUUAAAAAAAAUAAUAACGUCAAUUUUAAUGAUGUUAACGUCACUCACUAAACCCUAAACUUUAAAUCUAAACCCUAAA